rnacentral:tRNA from 1 species
UCCCUGGUGGUUCAGUAGGUAAGACUCUGCGCUCCCAAUGCAGAGGGCUUGAGUUUGAUUCCUGGUCAGGGAA